rnacentral:rRNA from 1 species
UACGUAGGUGGCAAGCGUUGUCCGGAAUUAUUGGGCGUAAAGCGCGCGCAGGCGGUCCUUUAAGUCUGAUGUGAAAGCCCACGGCUCAACCGUGGGAGGUCAUUGGAAACUGGGGGACUUGAGUGCAGAAGAGGAAAGUGGAAUUCCACGUGUAGCGGUGAAAUGCGUAGAGAUGUGGAGGAACACCAGUGGCGAAGGCGACUUUCUGGUCUGUAACUGACGCUGAGGCGCGAAAGCGUGGGGAGCAAACAGG